rnacentral:tRNA from 1 species
AUAUUGGUGGUUCGGUGGUAGAAUUUCCGCCUUCCAUGCAGGAGACCCGGGUUCAAUUCCUGGCCGAUGAA